rnacentral:tRNA from 1 species
GGGGAUGUAGCUCAGCUAGUAGCGUGCUUGCCUCAUGCACAAGACCCUGGGUUCAAUCCCCAGCACCGCCA